UUGACUUAGCUAAUUUAUUGUGUUUGGCACCAGAAUCUCUGACUUCCCCUGAACGCCUCACUGAAAUCUAACUGCGCAGCUCCCCAGCACAACGUCCCCAUUCUGUUCUAGAAGCUUCUGAGAACAUCGAUACUGCUGUGCGCUUUUGAUUGUGUUGGUUACCACGUGGCAAGUCGACGGUCCGCUGGCCUCCAGCUCCUCUCCCUCUCCAUCUAUCCAUUUGAGAUCAUUCACCUCUCUCCUAUCACUCUACCCACUCAUCCCUUAAUAUAAGACGUUCUAUCUCUCCUGUCAAUCUAAUACAUCUAUCUAAUUUUGAGGUUUUCUAUCUCUCCUGUCAUAUCUACUAUAUCUAUCUAAAUUUUGGAAAUUCUAUCAUUCUAUCCCUCUAAUUCUAUCCCGCUCUAUCUAAAUUUGCUAUUGGUGCAAAUUACCCUAUGGUCUUGGUUCAAAUAUUUUUCAUGUAAAUGUGAUAUGGUUCAUGGUUACAAGUGAAGUUACAAGUUACAAGUACUUGUUUGUGGAUCUACAGGAAAUUGGUACCUGAUCAUUCUGUUUUAUGGUUCUGUGAGUUUCUCUGCUCACACUUUUUCUACCUCUCUUGUCUUUCUCUCACACACAUUUGAUUUGGCCUUUUCAAUUGGCAAAAACCUUAUUUUUGAAUUGUCCAUAUUGUAUCAAUAUUCUAUUUAGUAAUAGUCAUAAUUAAAUAAAUUAUUUUUUAGUUUGUUCAUUAAAUUUAAAUUAAUUGAAAAGACUGGAAACACAUAAAUAACACAUUUUGUUUAGCUUUUUAUCACAAACAUUUGACUGUAAAAACUAAUUCAAAAUUAAAUCUGGUACAUUUCCAAAUAUAUACGUUGCUGUUAUAAAGUGUACCAUUGAAGUCUCUUGUUAAUGUACAUAACAAUAAAUUGAAGUCCAAAUCUAUAUUUAUACAAGAAAAGAGCUGUAGUUGUUCCUGGACCGUGUUGCUGUGGAGCUCUGUACCAAAAGGUUUGUUUUGACUGCAAAUAUAUUCACACCAGAGUACACAUAAUCAGUUUUUGUUUGUACAAGUGUAAAAGUAAUUACACUACAUAUAUUGUGUUAUUUGUCUCUAUUUCACAUAUUUGUACCUUGUCUAUACAGUUACCCACGUUGGUGGCAUCAACACCUUUUGUACAUGCUUUAUUGUUGGUUAAACCUUUAUAAAGUGAAAUAAAUAAACCAACUGUAAGGAGAAA